rnacentral:tRNA from 1 species
GCCCAGGUGGUGAAAUUGGUAUACACGCUGGUCUUAGGAACCAGUGCCUUGCGGCGUGAAGGUUCAAGUCCUUUCCUGGGCACCA